rnacentral:rRNA from 1 species
GGUAACAGGUUAAGCUGACGAGUGGCGAACGGGUGAGUAAUAUAUCGGAACGUGCCCAGUCGUGGGGGAUAACUGCUCGAAAGAGCAGCUAAUACCGCAUACGACCUGAGGGUGAAAGCGGGGGAUCGCAAGACCUCGCGCGAUUGGAGCGGCCGAUAUCAGAUUAGGUAGUUGGUGGGGUAAAAGCCUACCAAGCCUACGAUCUGUAGCUGGUCUGAGAGGACGACCAGCCACACUGGGACUGAGACACGGCCCAGACUCCUACGGGAGGCAGCAGUGGGGAAUUUUGGACAAUGGACGCAAGUCUGAUCCAGCCAUGCCGCGUGCGGGAAGAAGGCCUUCGGGUUGUAAACCGCUUUUGUCAGGGAAGAAAAGGUUCUGGAUAAUACCUGGGACUCAUGACGGUACCUGAAGAAUAAGCACCGGCUAACUACGUGCCAGCAGCCGCGGUAAU